UAAGGAAUAUUGGUCAAUGGGCGCAAGCCUGAACCAGCAACGCCGCGUGGAGGAAGAAGGGUUUCGGCUCGUAAACUCCUUUUAGGUGGGACGAGACAGGACGGUACCACCUGAAUAAGUCUCGGCUAACUACGUGCCAGCAGCCGCGGUAAAACGUAGGAGACGAGCGUUAUCCGGAUUUACUGGGCGUAAAGCGCGUGCAGGCGGUUCAAUAAGUCAUAUGUGAAAGCACCUGGCUCAACUGGGUGAGGCCAUGUGAGACUGUUGAACUAGAGAGAGGUAGAGGCCAACGGAAUUCCGGGUGGAGUGGUGAAAUGCGUAGAGAUCCGGAGGAACACCAGUGGCGAAGGCGGUUGGCUGGGCCUACGUCUGACGCUCAGACGCGACAGCAUGGGGAGCGAA
rnacentral:rRNA from 1 species